AUUGAACGCUGGCGGCAUGCUUUACACAUGCAAGUCGAACGGUAACAGGCCGCAAGGUGCUGACGAGUGGCGAACGGGUGAGUAAUGCAUCGGAACGUGCCCAGUCGUGGGGGAUAACUGCUCGAAAGAGCAGCUAAUACCGCAUACGAUCUAUGGAUGAAAGCGGGGGACCGUAAGGCCUCGCGCGAUUGGAGCGGCCGAUGUCAGAUUAGGUAGUUGGUGGGGUAAAGGCUCACCAAGCCAACGAUCUGUAGCUGGUCUGAGAGGACGACCAGCCACACUGGGACUGAGACACGGCCCAGACUCCUACGGGAGGCAGCAGUGGGGAAUUUUGGACAAUGGGGGCAACCCUGAUCCAGCAAUGCCGCGUGCAGGAAGAAGGCCUUCGGGUUGUAAACUGCUCUUGUACGGAACGAAACGGUCUGGGUUAAUACCCUGGGCUAAUGACGGUACCGUAAGAAUAAGCACCGGCUAACUACGUGCCAGCCGCCGCAGUAA
rnacentral:rRNA from 1 species